GGCAAGUCGCGGGGAGCGCUGGGAAAUGGAGUCCAUAAGCGGAAGUUGCCCUUGGCCACUUUCAGGAGUCGCUGUGCCCCGAUGCACACUGGGAAGUCCGCAGCUCCGAGGAGCCCAGUGGAAAUCGCCAGAUGAGGGCCUCCUCCGGGGAAUGAUGGGAAAUGGAGUCUACAGGCCGGAGGGGUGCCCCACGGCAUACUAGGAAGCGCAGAGCACCGGGUAAAGGGGAUGAAUAGCAGGCUGCCCCGGGGCAGUUAGGAAUUCGACUGGACAGCCGCGUGGGAGGGAGUGCGGAGAGAGGCAGGGUUGUUUUGUUAUUGUUGUUUUAUUUUUUGUUUGUUUUGAGACGUAGUCUCGCUCUGUUGCCACGCUGGUUCAGUGGCGCGAUAUCGGCUCGCUGCAACCUCCGCUUCCCAGGUUCAAGCAGUUCUGCCUCAGUCCCCAGAGUAGCUGGGAUAACAGGCGCGCGCCACCCCGCCCUGCUAAUUUUUAUAUUUUUAGUAGAGACGGGAUUUCACCAUGUUGGCCAGGAUGGUCUUGAUCUCUUGACUUCGUCAUCCGCUCGCCUCGGCCUGUAAUCCUGCUGGGAUGACGAGCGUGAGCCACCACGCCUGGCUGAGUUUUAUUUAUUUUGGGUUUUUUCCUGACCCCUUAACUAGAAAUAAGCUCCACGAGAGCAGGAUCUUUUGUCUUCUGUGCACUACUUGUCCUCGGUUCGUAGAACAGAACCUGAGAGUACGUGAUCGCAAAUAUUUUUGGAAUGAAUGAAUGAAUGAAUGCGUUCACCAGGGCACCAUGGGAAACUGAGUCCGCAACCCAGAAGCCAUGAAAGACAGUCCAUUUCCAAGCUUCCCUGGGUGACCUCCCAGGGCAUGCUGGGAAAUAAAAUUUGCGGUGCAAAGGUCAGGACCACGAUCCUAGGGCACGCUGGGAAAUGUAGCCCACAGGGCCACAUCCCUAAGAGCACAGCGGGGUGCAAGGCAGGGCCCCAGGGCAUCUCGGGCUCGGGGCAAGAGAAAUCCACACUCCCUAAUGGUAAUCCCUGAGCCACACCGAGGAAAGGAACCCAAGACACAGCGUCCAGAGGGACAGGGCUCCCGGAGCCUUCCCUGGCCCGCGCUUCUCCUGCGCCCAUCUGGACCUCCUGGGAACCGUCCUGGCCCCCGCGCGCUCUCAAAGCAUGCUGGGAUUGGUGGUCCCGGGCAAGGAGUUCCAGCAGGUGGGGGGCGAAUCACCUUUCAGCGGGCCCAAGCGAUGAGCACACCUUGACCUUCACCUUACAGAUCCCGCGCCUAACUCCAGAUUGGGAAGGUGGCUGGCACUUUGAGACAGGAAGAGACCCGUAAAAAUCAUACGGAGAAGGGCCAAAAUCCGGACAGACUACAGACUGUUUCCCAAGCGCUGUGGGAGUUUCCCACCCACUGUGAAGUCCUUGGGUUUACGCGGAGAAGUAAACUGCGCAUCCCACGAGGCCUCUGUCUUUCCCUCUUUCUUGCUUUCUCUCUCUUUUUGUUGCUGUUACGAAAAUUUUUGUGGUACUAUUGUAUCAUGAGGCAUUGAAACAUCGGAACAACUCAAUGUCUGGGCGGUGAGGCAGCUGCUUUCUCCUUCACUUUCUUUGAGUUAGUAGAGCAACUUGUCAGUAGAUUUUUUUUUUUUUUUUUUUUUUGAGACAGAGGCUCCCUCUGUCACCCAGGCUGGAUGGAGUGCAGUGGCGCGUUGUCGGCUCACUGCAAGCCCUGCCUCCUGGGUUCAAGCGAUUCUCCUGCCUCAGCCUCCCGAGUAGCUGGGGUUAGGCGUGCUCCACCACGCCCAGCUAAUUUUUGUUUUUUUGGUAGAGACGAGGUUUCACCAUGUUGGCCAGGCUGGUCUCGAGUUCCUGACCUCGUGAUCCAACUGCCUCAGUCUCCCAAAACGCUGGGAUUACAGGCGUGAGCCACCGCAACCGGCCAGAUUUUUUUUUUUUAAAAGGACAACCUUUUGCAUUGCUAAAGUCUUUUUAAGGCAUGCGCUGGUACAACACAAACUUCUCCCAUUAGAUGCAACUAGUCUAGUGUCCAGACAUCAUGCACAACACCUCGGUGGCAUCAGCGCACUGCGCCCACUCCCACUGCAGCCCUGCUCAUUUGUGCAUCAUAUCUGGAGCAUCUGGAGGAGUGGCAAUAGUUCUGGAAAGAGGAGGGAAGAGGAGGCAGCGUGAGGGCCCAGUGGAGAGGAGGUCAGCUGAAGUUGUGCAGAGCAAGCCUGCAUAUCAUUGGUGCAAACCCAAGCAUCAUUGCAUCGUUGUUGUGUUUUGUUUGGUUUUGUUUUGUUUUUGAGAUGGAGUCUCACUGUGUCGCCCAGGCUGGAGUGCAGUGAUGUGAUCUCCGCUCACUGCAACCUCUGCCUCCUGGGUUCAAGUGAUUCUCCUACCUCAGCUUCCCAGGUAGCUGGGAUCACAGGCGUGCUCCAUGCCUGGCUAAUUUUUGUAUUUUUAGUAGAGACAAGGUUUCACCAUGUUGGCCAGGCUGGUGUCGAACUCCUGACCUCAAGUGAUCCACCCACCUCAGCUUCCCAAAGUGCUGGGAUUACAGGCGUGAGCCACCGCACCCAGCUGAUGUUAAUAGGAAUAUCUGGUGGAACCCCAUGAUGGGGUCUUCAUUCACCACGAAGCCUGUUUCUAUAGAAAGGGAUAGUUCUGGUGGCUCUUAGGUGUGGUCCCUGAACCCCACACUUUCCACAUACUUACACACCAACCUCCUUCCCCCAGGAAAACAAGAAGUCAAUCUUCAGGGUAUUAUCAUGUAGCUCUGGUUCUGUAUGUAUUCUGUGCCUUUAUGUAUAAUUGUGUGUAUUUGCAAUCAUGUCUGUGGCCGGAGGUAUGUUGUUUAUGAGUGUUUGUGUUUAUGGUUUUUGUUUGUUUGUUUUGAGAUGGAGUUUCACUCCUGUCAUCGCCCAGGCUGGAUUGCACUGGCGCAAUCAAAAAAGAGUAAAAUAACAGAAAUCAGAAUGGGCUUAUAAUACUCUUACCCCUCUCCACACCAGACAGAAGAGUCAAUUUUACACGUUCGUGGAUGUUCUAACUUCACCUCCUUAUCUAAACCAUCUUUAUGGUGCAGACUAGUAUCUAUUUUUCUGCUGUUACAGAAGAAGUGGGAACAUUUUCUUCUUAUCUUUCUGAGGUUAUUUACACCAGUGAGGAGGGCCUGCAGUUCCAAGGUUAAGCACCAACAUUCCACUGUUAUCAUUGAGAGCAAACAGCAGGCCCUAGAAGUGAAAACAAAACCUUUACCACAGAAAGACAAGAACAAAAGAUGAUGUCCUUGAGUGGCAUAUGAAGAUGCUCACAGCCAACAUCACAUGCCUGUCAGAUAUUUUAUGUACAUCAUCUCAUCAACUCCAGGAGGCAGAGACUAAGAGACUAGCCCCAGUCACAGAGCUAGAAAUUGGCCAAGACAAGGUUCAAUCUGAGGACUGUCAAAUCCAGAACUGGAAUUAUUUAUUCAUUUAUUUUGAGACGGAGUCUCGCUCUGUCACCCCGGCUGGAGUGCAGCGGCACGAUCUCAGCUCACUCCAACCUCCACCUCCCGGGUUCAAGUGAUUCUCAUGGGACUACAGGUGCACGCCACCACGGCUGGCUAGUUUUUGUAUUUUUAGUAGAUACAGGUUUUCACCACGUUGGCCAGGAUAGUCUCAAACUCCUGACCUCAUGAUCUGCCCGCCUCGGCCUCCCAAAGUGCUGGGAUUACAGGCAUGAGCCACUAUACCUGGCCUUAGAAGCCUCAGUUCCUGAUGGCGGUUGGGAUCUGCCUUUCCUUCCCUGGGCUGCCCAUCUCUUGUCUUUUAGGUUACAUGUGAGAAAACAAACCUCCAAUUCACCAAAACUUUGUUAUUUGGGGAGCUGUCUCUUACUAUCAGCCAAACAUAACUCCUCAAUGACAUUGUCAGUUUAGCACUGCCAUUAUAAUGAGGAGGGAUCUGGGUCCAGCUGUGGGAACAUGAAGAGGCACUGGUGGGAUGACCACAGCCAGCCCCUGUUGAUUCACCAGGAGACUGCAGAUGCACCAGCACGUCCAGCCAAGAUCAGCCAAGCCCAGCCAGACAAGAACUCCCAGUGGAGCCCAGCCCAAUUUGCCAACCCUCAAACUAUGAUUUUUUUUUUUUUUUUUGAGACGGACUCUUGGUCUGUCGCCCAGGCUGGAGUGCAGUGGCGCGAUCUCCCCUCACUGCAAGCUCCACCUCCUGGGUUCACGCCAUUCUCCUGCCUCAGCGUCCCGAGUAGCUGGGACUACAGAUGCCUGCCACCACACACUGCUAAUUUUUUUGUAUUUUUAAUAGAGAUGGGGUUUCACCAUGUUAGCCAGGAUGGUCUCAAUCUCCUGACCUCGUGAUCCAACUGCCUUGGCCUCCCAAAGUGCUGGGAUUACAGGCAUGAGCCACCGCGCCCAGCCCUCAAACCAUAAGUUAAAUAAAUGACUGCUGAUUACCCACUAAUAUUUGGGGUAACUUUUUUCUUUGCUUUUUUUUUUUGAGACCAAGUCCCACUCUGUCAUCCAGGCUGGAAUGCAGUGGCAUGACUGCAGCUUACUGCAACCUCCACCUCUGAGGUUCAAGUGAUUCUCCUGCCUCAGCCUCCUAAGUAACUGGGAUUACAGGCACCAGCCACCAUGCCCAGCUGCUUUUUGUGUGUUUUCAGUAGAGACAGGGUUUCACUAUGUUGACCAGCUGGUCUUGAACUCCUGGCCUCAAGUGAUCCACUCACCUCAGCCUCCCAAAGUGCUGGGAUUACAGGCAGGAGUGAGCCACCACAUUCGGCCUGGGGUAAUUUUUUUAUGCCACAAAAGCAAACUGAUGCAGGCAUUCCAAGAGGCCUUUGAGCCUGCUGAUUGCAAGACACUCUGCCUUUGAUAAAAUGUAGUGGACAGAGAAGCAGUGGUUUCAGUGGCAGAGAUGACAAAUUGUUGCCCAAUAUUCGUUGUCCCCUUCUUUCUCAACAUAAUGGAACCUCUGAUUUAUGCUGAGUUUAGCAUAGCCAUCUAGAAUAAUGGUUACAUUUCCCAGUGUCAGGCCUGUGAGCCCAAGCUAAGCCAUCAUAUCCUCUGUGGGCCUGCACAUAUACAUCCAGAUGGCCUGAAGCAACUGAAGAUCCACAGAAGAAGUGAAAAUGGUCUUACCCGAUGACAUUCCACCACUGUGAUUUGUUCCCGCCCCACCCUAACUGAUACGAUAUAUUCCGCCCGGCCCUUAAGAAGGUACUUUGUAAUAUUCUCCCCGCCCUUGAGAAUGUACUUUGCAAGCCCAUCCCAAACCUAUAAGAACUAAUGAUAAUCCCACCUUUGCUGACUCUCUUUUCAGACUCAGCCUGCCUGCACCCAGGUGAAAUAAACAGCCUUGCUGCUCACACAAAGCCUGUUUGGUGGUCUCUUCACACGGACACGCAUGACAUUUGGUGCCGUGACUCGGAUCGGGGGAUCUCCCUUGGGAGAUCAAUCUCCUGUCCUCCUGCUCUUUGCUCCGUGAGAAAGAUCCACCUUCGACCUCGGGGCCUCAGACCAACCAGCCCAAGGAACAUUUUACCAAUUUUAAAUCGGGACCCCACUGGAAAUUGGACUGUCCAACUUGCCCAGCAGCCACUCCCAAAGCCCCUGGAACUCCAGCCCAAGGCUCUCUGACUGACUCCUUCCCAGAUCUUCUCAGCUUAGUGGCUGAAGACUGACGCUGCCCAAUCACCUUGGAAGCCUCCUGGACCAUCACAGAUGCUUUGGGCAACUCUUACAGUGGAGGAAGGCAGGAAUGUCAGGCCUCUGAGCCCAAGCUAAACCAUCAUAUCCCCUGUGACCUGCACGUACACAUCCAAAUGGCCUGAAGCAACUGAAGAUCCACAAAAGAAGUGAAAAUAGCCUUAACUGAUGACAUUCCACCACUGUGAUUUGUUCCCACCCCACCCUGAUACCAUAUAUUCUCCCUCACCCUUAAGAAGGUACUUUGUAAUAUUCUCCUCCCUUAAGAAGGUACUUUGUAAUAUUCUCCCCCCUCUUAAGAAGGUACUUUGUAAUAUUCCCCCCCACCUUAAGAAGGUACUUUGUAAUAUUCUCCCCCCUUAAGAAGGUACUUUGUAAUAUUUUCCCCCUCUUAAGAAGGUACUUUGUAAUAUUCUUCCCCCCCUUAAGAAAGUACUUUGUAAUAUUCUCUCCCCCUUAAGAAGGUACUUUGGAAUAUUCUCCCCCCACUUAAGAAGGUACUUUGGAAUAUUCUCCCCCCACUUAAGAAGGUACUUUGUAAUAUUCUCCCCCACCUUAAGAAGGUACUUUGUAAUAUUCUCCCCACUCUUAAGAAGGUACUUUGUAAUAUUCUCCCCCCACCUUAAGAAGGUAUUUUGUAAUAUUCUCCCCGCUCUUAAGAAGGUACUUUGUAAUAUUCUCCCCCACCUUUAGAAGGUACUUUGUAAUAUUCUCCCCACCCUUGAGAAUGUACUUUGUACACCCAUCUCAAACCUAUAAAAACUAAUGAUAAUCCCACCAUCGUUUGCUGACUCCUUUUUCGGACUCAGCCCACCUGCACCCACUGUAGGUUCCCAUGCUGCCCCUAAUCCCACUCGAAGCAGCCCUGAGAAACAUCGCCCAUUAUCUCUCCAUGCCACCCCCAAAAAUUUUCGCUGCCCCAACACUUCACCACUGUUUUGUUUUGUUUUUCUUAUUAAUAUAAGAAGGCAGGAAUGUCAGGCCUCUGAGCCCAAGCUAAACCAUCAUAUCCCCUGUGACCUGCACGUACACAUCCAGAUGGCCUGAAGCAACUGAAGAUCCACGAAAGAAGUGAAAAUAGCCUUAACUGAUGACAUUCCACCACUGUGAUUUGUUCCCACCCCACACUAACUGAUACCAUAUAUUCUGCCCCACCCUUAAGAAGGUACUUUGUAAUAUUCUCCCCCCACCGUUAAGAAGGUACUUUGUAAUAUUCUCCCCCCACCGUUAAGAAGGUACUUUGUAAUAUUCUCCCCCCACCCUUAAGAAGGUACUUUGUAAUACUCUCCUCCCCCACCACCCCACCCUUAAGAAGGUACUUUGUAAUAUUCUCCCCCCACCCCGCCCGCUUAAGAAGGUACUUUGUAAUAUUCUCCUCCCUACCCCAGCUUAAGAAGGUACUUUGUAAUAUUCUCCUCCCUACCCCAGCUUAAGAAGGUACUUUGUAAUAUUCUCCUCUCCCGUCUUAAAAGGUACUUUGUAGUAUUCUCUCCACCCUCCCCCCCACCCCUAAGGAGGUACUUUGUAAUAUUCUCCCCCCACCCAAGAAGGUACUUUGUAAUAUUCUCCCCCCACCCAAGAAGGUAUUUUGUAAUAUUCUCCCCCAACCCAAGAAGGUACUUUGUAAUAUUCUUCCCCCACUUAAGAAGGUAAUUUGUAAUAUUCUUUCCCCAACCUUAAGAAGGUAUUUUGUAAUAUUCCCCCCACCUUAAGAAGGUACUUUGUAAUAUUCUCCUCCCCACCUUAAGAAGAUACUUUGUAGUAUUCUCUCCACCCCCCCCUUAAGAAGGUACUUUGUAAUAUUCUCCCCCCCAGAAGGUACUUUGUAAUAUUCUCCCCACCCUUGAGAAUGUACUUUGUAUGCCCGUCUCAAACCUGUAAGAACUAAUGGUAAUCCCAUCAUCCUUUGCUGACUCUCUUUUCGGACUCAGCCCGCCUGCACCCAGGUGAAAUAAACAGCCUUGUUACUCACACAAA